GGAUUCAAUAAAAAAAUGAGAGUUUGUUGAGGGGAAUAAUAUUUGGAGCAGUAGGAUAGCUUAGUAUUUCCAUUCUUUUAGUAAGGGCACUCCUGUCCAAAAUUUAUCAUAAACAGGGGUAUUUUUGUAAGCACAUUUUAUUUACACUAAUAUAAGUAGUGGGCUGAGGACUUCUAGACUAUUCUCUAUUCAGUUUUGAUGUAGUUGUCUUCUUUCAGUCUUCUCCGUUCUCUUUCUCUUCCUCUUCAUUCUAUACGUUCUCCUUUUUUUCUUUUCUUUUAUUUCUGGUUGCUGCCUCAUUACUGAUUGACAGUGAUUACCAUGUUUUUCAUGGUAUCGGAGCAGGUGAAGUGAUUAGGGAUUUUUUUCUUCUUUCCUCCCUAAUUGAUUGAUUUUUUUUUUUCUCUUCUAAGCGUGCUGCAACUAUUGUUAGUGAUUGGAGUUGAAACCAGAUAGAUUUCUGGGUGAUUUGUGAUGGUCUAUACCAUCACAGCUGCUGUGGAAAGUGACUGGUGAUGUGCGUGACCCUCUAGUGGAAUCAAACCAAGAGGGAAUCCAUCGUUUCAAUGGAAAAACUGAAUCUGGACUGUGUACAAGUUGUGAGCUGAUUGAAUAGUGAUGCCAAGACAAGUAUUUCAAAUCGUGAAGUGAAAGGUGCUGUCUUUUUAUAAUUGUGAGAGUGACAAGGGACUGAAAACUCAAAGUACUCAAGUGGAUACAACAAGAUGCACAAAUUAAGACUUGGUUGUGGAAUUCCAUAAAGACCAAAAUCAUCAGCACACUUAUUUUUCUGGAUACGUCUAAACAGAUUUGGGAUCAAGUGAAGAGGAUGUAUUCGGGUAGCAAUAAUAUCACGCGGAUAUAUCAGUUGUUUCAAUCAUUUAUAAGUUUACAGCCGGGAGGCCUGUACAAAAAUCAAGUUCAAUAGAGGUUCUAUAGUUGAAAGAGAAUGGUACCUGGAGCAAUGUAUCCAAUUGAGCCGCAUAGAGGAUGUUACUAGGCUUCAAGUCACAAUGGAUGACCUUAACUGGAGAAUGGUGGUGCAAGUAAGCAAGCCCCUCAGCUAUGUCACUGCAGAU